GUGGUGCUGUGGCGCCGAGGCCGGGCCGACCUAAGCGCCCUACUCCUAGCGACCGUUGUCGCCUCGUGGAUCCUAUUCCACGGCGCCUCCGGAUACACGGCCAUGUCGCUCGCCGCCGAUGUGCUCUUCCUCCUCCUGGUCGUGCUGUACGCAUGGUCCAGGGCCGCGCGCCUCCUCGGCCACCCCGUGCCGCCCAUCCCUGACCUGCAGCCGACGGCCGACGAGCUCGCCGCGCUCAUCCGCUCUGGCCUCGUCGGCAUUGCCUCCGCCUUCCGCCGUGUCGUGCAGGCCCAGCCUGGCUCUGGGCGCGUCUUUGCCUGACUCGCCGCCGCUGCCCUGGUCGGCAGGCUCGCGCGCGACCUCCCCACAUGGUGCUAUGUAGUUGUGGUGGGCGGGCUGACGAUCCCAGCGAUGUACCAGAGGUUGAGCAUGGAGAGAUACAUGAGGCUGGCGUCCCUCAACCUCUACAGAUACUAG
rnacentral:rRNA from 1 species